UUUAGAAAAAGAGAUUAAGGAUUCCCCUCUUGGUAGCUAGCUAGGCCAUUAAACUGGGUUUCUCUUGUUAUUGUUAUUUCACUUGUUCUUCUUGAUGGAACAGAGUUGUUUUCAAGCUAAAAGUUUCUGGUAGCGCUAAAGUUCAUAUCACUGUUUGUCUCCAAUACUGUAUUCGCUUUAGUAAUUUGUUUGAAAUAACUCGUGUUCAUGCAUUCUUUUCCUUAUUAUUCUAUAUAUUCAGCGUCGGUUCACUGUUACACUGUUCUAAGUACAGUGAACAGUCGUUCCAAGUUGGUUUGCUCUCUGUCUUUCCUUUGACUUACGGCCUUGCCAUGUCCCCUUAAUGUAUAAGCAAAAUCCCAUUUCUUAGUCUCUUCGGGAAGCCUCUAUCAACUAUCAACUUCCAUAUUCAAUGUUUCGCAGCCAUCAAAAUCAACAGCAGUGAAAGAAUCCGAAUUCACGAUUGAUCUAUUUGAUCGCUUAGUAAUUGGAGCCAUGGCUAUAGUCUGCGCUUUAAAUUAAUUUCUCUUUUAAGUUGCUAUUUUGUUGUAGAAAGUAGUCAAUCUCUUCAUGGCUUCUCUGUAAGAUGUCUUUGAAUUACGUUUCUUGCUUUCAGCUCUUUCCUCAAUCUCUUCAGCUACCUGAUCAUCAAUUUUUAUUUGUUGUUGUUUUAUUCUGAAUUUUGCAGGUAUCUUGAAGAGAUGAUUAAUUUCUUUUGUUCCAGGGGUCCAUUCAGAUGCAAUUGUCAUGACCGAAACAGAAAGAGGAAGACUUUGAGAAAUACAAAGAUAAGUUGCCGGAAUUGAUGCAGAGACAAUGAGUUUGGGUACAAGUACAAUGGCCAGCAGUGACUAAGUUGCUGAUAACUUGCUUCAUGAAGCCACUAGCAAUCUAGAAACUUUGAUAUUUUUCUCCCAGACCCUUAGAAGCAAGCCUGUGAAAAGCCCAGUAAUUAUCUACGGUGAUAUUGAUGGACAAUUUCAUAAUCUUGCUGAGCUUUUCCGUAAUGGGGAAAAGUAUUUGUUCUGAUUUGAGCUAUUUAGUUCUACUUAUGUUUGGUCCAAAUGAGGGAUUUUAUAGGGUGAUAUAAGAAGAUUAUAAUCCAAAGAACGUACCAGUUCUGCCAUGGAUAUGAAGCCCAAUUGACGUCAACGCCUUGGAAAAAAAAAACCCCUCUCUAUUCUGCCUUGACCUGACCCCAGGUUGGUCUGAAAGACCCCAAAACAAAACCAAAAAAACAAAAAAAAAACAAGAGAAGAGAACAGGGGAAGAAGGGGAAGAAGAAGAAAUUCAGAAGAAGAAACAAAAGUGGAGAAAUGAAGAAACUAAAGAAAAGAAGAAGAAGAAGAAGAAGAGAGAGAUAGAAGGAAACAAGAGGCAAAGAAGAGAGGUAGAAUUUUUACAUUGAAGCUGCUCAGAUCCAUCAUUUUGUUUACAUAUCAUUUCUUUGGAAAAAAUGAUGUGGCUUUGCUGAAUGUUUAUUUACUGUUAGUAUUCUUAAUAGUUCAUAUCUACUCUCUUCAACAGAACUGCAUAUCUAGGGUGCCAAAAUGAAAACCAAUCGACUCUUCACAAAUAAUUCAGAGUCUAGCAUGUCUUUCUUCUCAAUGAAUUUAGUACGUAUAAAAUUCAGGAAACAAAGAAACCUGCAACAUAGCGCGGGUCUUUUUGCUAGUAAUAUUAGAAGACCGAUAAUUUCACCUUGUAUCUAGAACUCUCUCUCUUUCACACAGAAUGUCUCUUAUAAUUCUAUUUGCACCUUCUUUCUCUCUUUCAUUCACUCACAAAGCUAGGGAUUAGUAUUGCUCUGUUUCCGAGCUAGGGUUUGUUGUUGUAAUGUGCAUAUGUGGCAAAGGAAGAGAAUCGUUCUUAUCUUGCUGUUCGUGUUUCAAAAGUGACGAUGGUGGUUUUCAUUAGAAUUUAUUGAUUAUUCAGAUGCUGAAGGUUAAAGUCAUUAUGAUCUAGAGAAGGACUAAAAAGGGUUUAGGUUACAAUUGAUGUUAGAUAGGGUUGAAAUAACUGCAAUGAAAAAAUAAAUAAAUAAAUAAAAUCAGUUUACGAAGCCAUUGGAAGUCACCUGUGUCUUUAUGGGCAAAAUUUAGGUAGGUUUUGUUUUGGCUGAUUUGAUACAGAAUUUUAGUGCUUGACCUCUCAUCCAACCUCAGGUAGUUCCUUAUUGAGUAAUAUUUUGCUUCUAAUGUUCAAAUGGCCUCUGAAUUUGUAUCGUUCAGGUUUUGAGCUCUUCGUAAGCUUUUUCCUAAUUGGCAUCUGUGGUGCUCUGAUCUAGCUCGGUGUUACUUUGGCUAUGAUUGUAUGCUUUAUACCACUCUUAUGGUUACAAGCUAGGUUUUGGAGCGAAUCGGGACAUAAUGAGGUCCUAACCGGAAUAUAUAUGUAAUACAUAUCACUGAGUUUGCAUAAUGUAAUGGAAACUGGUGAUUAUAUCACUAGUAGUCCAGGUAGUCAAUGUACAAAAACAUAAUUUUUUUAUAGUCCAGGCAGUAGUUAUUCACAUUC